UCACGGUUUACACCGGCAGUUUCGCUAGAGUCCCCGGCAUUACCCGCUGGCAACUAACGAUAAGGGUUGCGCUCGUUAUGGGACUUAACCCGACACCUCACGGCACGAGCUGACGACAACCAUGCAGCACCUUGUAGAUCGUCCGAAGAAGGACCAGUUUCCCAGUCUGUCGCUCUACAUUUAAGCCCAGGUAAGGUUCCUCGCGUAUCAUCGAAUUAAACCACAUGUUCCUCCGCUUGUGCGGGCCCCCGUCAAUUCCUUUGAGUUUCAACCUUGCGAUCGUACUCCCCAGGUGGAUUACUUAAUGCUUUCGCUCAGCCGCUGACAGUGUAUCGCCAACAGCGAGUAAUCAUAGUUUACGGCGUGGACUAC
rnacentral:misc_RNA from 1 species